rnacentral:rRNA from 1 species
UACGUAAGGGGCUAGCGUUGUCCGGAAUCAUUGGGCGUAAAGCGCGUGUAGGCGGUCCGGUAAGUCCGCUGUGAAAGUCGGGGGCUCAACCCUCGAAUGCCGGUGGAUACUGCCGGGCUAGAGUCCGGAAGAGGCGAGUGGAACUCCUGGUGUAGCGGUGGAAUGCGCAGAUAUCAGGAAGAACACCAACGGCGAAGGCAGCUCGCUGGGACGGAACUGACGCUGAGGCGCGAAAGCGUGGGGAGCGAACAGG